rnacentral:rRNA from 1 species
AUUGAACGCUGGCGGCAGGCUUAACACAUGCAAGUCGAGCGGGGAAUGGUAGCUUGCUACCUGACCUAGCGGCGGACGGGUGAGUAAUGCUUAGGAAUCUGCCUAUUAGUGGGGGACAACAUUCCGAAAGGAAUGCUAAUACCGCAUACGCCCUACGGGGGAAAGCAGGGGAUCUUCGGACCUUGCGCUAAUAGAUGAGCCUAAGUCAGAUUAGCUAGUUGGUGGGGUAAAGGCCUACCAAGGCGACGAUCUGUAGCGGGUCUGAGAGGAUGAUCCGCCACACUGGGACUGAGACACGGCCCAGACUCCUACGGGAGGCAGCAGUGGGGAAUAUUGGACAAUGGGCGCAAGCCUGAUCCAGCCAUGCCGCGUGUGUGAAGAAGGCCUUUUGGUUGUAAAGCACUUUAAGCGAGGAGGAGGCUACUGAGAUUAAUACUCUUGGAUAGUGGACGUUACUCGCAGAAUAAGCACCGGCUAACUCUGUGCCAGCAGCCGCGGUAAUACAGAGGGUGCGAGCGUUAAUCGGAUUUACUGGGCGUAAAGCGUGCGUAGGCGGCUUUUUAAGUCGGAUGUGAAAUCCCUGAGCUUAACUUAGGAAUUGCAUUCGAUACUGGGAAGCUAGAGUAUGGGAGAGGAUGGUAGAAUUCCAGGUGUAGCGGUGAAAUGCGUAGAGAUCUGGAGGAAUACCGAUGGCGAAGGCAGCCAUCUGGCCUAAUACUGACGCUGAGGUACGAAAGCAUGGGGAGCAAACAGGAUUAGAUACCCUGGUAGUCCAUGCCGUAAACGAUGUCUACUAGCCGUUGGGGCCUUUGAGGCUUUAGUGGCGCAGCUAACGCGAUAAGUGGACCGCCUGGGGAGUACGGUCGCAAGACUAAAACUCAAAUGAAUUGACGGGGGCCCGCACAAGCGGUGGAGCAUGUGGUUUAAUUCGAUGCAACGCGAAGAACCUUACCUGGUCUUGACAUAGUAAGAACUUUCCAGAGAUGGAUUGGUGCCUUCGGGAACUUACAUACAGGUGCUGCAUGGCUGUCGUCAGCUCGUGUCGUGAGAUGUUGGGUUAAGUCCCGCAACGAGCGCAACCCUUUUCCUUAUUUGCCAGCGGGUUAAGCCGGGAACUUUAAGGAUACUGCCAGUGACAAACUGGAGGAAGGCGGGGACGACGCCAAGUCAUCAUGGCCCUUACGACCAGGGCUACACACGUGCUACAAUGGUCGGUACAAAGGGUUGCUACCUAGCGAUAGGAUGCUAAUCUCAAAAAGCCGAUCGUAGUCCGGAUUGGAGUCUGCAACUCGACUCCAUGAAGCCGGAAUCGCUAGUAAUCGCGGAUCAGAAUGCCGCGGUGAAUACGUUCCCGGGCCU